CCGUGACACGGAAACACACAGUGCCAUACAGGCGCGAGGCGAUGGCAAUGCAAGUGCGUAAAAAACCAAUGCAAUUUUACAGCGGGUAUAUGAUCAAACGAAGUAAAACUUGAAACAUAAAAAGCAGGCUGACGAAGCUGCGCAUCCUGGCCAUUUCUGCAGUAUCGUGCCAUACGAAGAGUUUAAGCAGGGAUACUGCGUCUAAACACCUUGAUUCAAGCAUCUGCAGAUGCGACUGUGGGGCGGUCGAAGAUGAAAUGCACGUUGAGAGAGGUGAUCCAAUCCACACUUGCAGCGUUGAGAGAGGUGAUCCAAUCCACACUUGGAUCACCAUCCACACUUGCAGCGCGCCAGAGAUCUUCCAUGCCAUAAAUACCAGGGGCUUUCACAGCUAUGAAGCACAACCCAACAAGCAGGACAUGCCUCGUGAAACGAUGUCUACGUAUGAUAUUGAGCCAAAAGAUGUUAACAUGUGCGCAUAACAAUAGGCUCAUUCAAAAAAAGCCCGAAGCCCGAGAAUUAACAACAAGCAGGCAGAGCAAACACGUCCUUGGAAGGAGUAGCUGAGAGAGGUGAUCCAAUGGACCACCAUCCACAAUGGCAGCGAAGCAGAGACCUUCAAUGCCAUAAAUACCAGGGGCUUUCGCAGCUAUGAAGUACAACCCAAUAAGCAGGACAUGCCUCGUAACACGAUGUCGACCUAUGAUGUUGAGCCAGUAAUGUUAGCACGUGCGCAUAGUAGAAAAAUUAUUCAUAAAGUUUCCGACAUUUAACCUACUAAUAUUUUAUAAGGACGCAUACCACGCGACUGCCUUUGGAAGCGUCCCUCAAUGUCGUGCAGUUGGUUCCGGAGGAGGCGCGGACGCCAUCCAUACGUCUUCGUGUCUAGACCGUCCUCGUCAAUUUUUGCAGAUUGUUUUAUCGCAAUUUUACUGAUCAGCAGACGCCUGUCAGAAGCAUGGCUGGAGCGUAUGGCUUCCGUGAUCAGGAGCAUGAGCGCACACAUCACACGCGACAUCACUUAGUAUGACUAAGUGAUGCCAGCUGGCCCGAUGGCUCUACUCUUCGGGAGUCUGGAGCCCACUGUAACAACCACACACAGUAUGACAUGGCAUAGCAACUUUCUAACCCAGUCUGAACGGUAGCUGGAUUUGAUAGUCCUCCUACAUAGCAGUAUCCUAAUUGCCAAUUAUUGCGGUGCCCUAAUCUUAAUCCAAUACCAGUGUACUAAUCGUAAUCCUGGAUAUAGGUAUUUAUCCUAAUCCUGGGGCCGGGUCCCAAUCCUAAUCCUGGGGCCGGGUCCCAAUCCUAAUCCUACACUCGGGUCCUCAUCCUAAACCUGGCCUCAACUUUGUAUCCUAAUCCUGCCCCUCAUUCCAAAUCCUAAUUCCUGCCUGACCGGUACCCGAACCCAAUCCCUAAUCUUUGCAUCCCUCUGAUGAGGCUGAGACAUGAGUCCCCAACACCGGUAAACGGCAAAGUACCUUGUUUACAUCGUUGACAUACAAGAAAGGGUGGUUGUGUGGCACGUCUUCCCAACGUUUUGGCAGGUUAACCCGUGUCGCAAAAGCAGUUAAGCAGACCCAAAAUCAGAGAUGACAUCGUAAGUGUUGCGGUUAAGAUCUGACGUCGAUAGACCCAUGUUGGCCUGAAGACCUUCACAAAACAACAAACGGCGACCAAGAUUGAGUGAGCUGAUGGCCGCAAGGCACACAACCUCCCACACACACCCAUCAGAGGGAUGCAAAGAUUAGGGAUUGGGUUCGGGUACCGGUCAGGCAGGAAUUAGGAUUUGGAAUGAGGGGCAGGAUUAGGAUACAAAGUUGAGGCCAGGUUUAGGAUGAGGACCCGAGUGUAGGAUUAGGAUUGGGACCCGGCCCCAGGAUUAGGAUUGCGACCCGGCCCCAGGAUUAGGAUUGGGACCCGGCCCCAGGAUUAGGAUAAAUACCUAUAUCCAGGGUUACGAUUAGUACACUGGUAUUGGAUUAAGAUUAGGGCACCGCAAUAAUUGGCAAUUAGGAUACUGCUAUGUAGGAGGACUAUCAAAUCCAGCUACCGUUCAGACUGGAUUAGAAAGUUGCUAUGCCAUGUCAUACUAAGUGAUGUCGCGUGUGAUGUGUGCGCUCAUGCUCCUGAUCACGGAAGCCAUACGCUCCAGGAGCUCCAGCCAUGCUUCUGACAGGCGUCUGCUGAUCAGUAAAAUUGCGAUAAAACAAUCUGCAAAAAUUGACGAGGACGGUCUAGACACGAAGACGUAUGGAUGGCGUCCGCGCCUCCUCCGGAACCAACUGCACGACAUUGAGGGACGCUUCCAAAGGCAGUCGCGUGGUAUGCGUCCUUAUAAAAUAUUAGUAGGUUAAAUGUCGGAAACUUUAUGAAUAAUUUUUCUACUAUGCGCACGUGCUAACAUUACUGGCUCAACAUCAUAGGUCGACAUCGUGUUACGAGGCAUGUCCUGCUUAUUGGGUUGUACUUCAUAGCUGCGAAAGCCCCUGGUAUUUAUGGCAUUGAAGGUCUCUGCUUCGCUGCCAGUGUGGAUGGUGGUCCAUUGGAUCACCUCUCUCAGCUACUCCUUCGAAGGACGUGUUUGCUCUGCCUGCUUGUUGUUAAUUCUCGGGCUUCGGGCUUUUUAUGAAUGAGCCUAUUGUUAUGCGCACAUGUUAACAUCUUUUGGCUCAAUAUCAUACGUAGACAUCGUUUCACGAGGCAUGUCCUGCUUGUUGGGUUGUGCUUCAUAGCUGUGAAAGCCCCUGGUAUUUAUGGCAUGGAAGAUCUCUGGCGCGCUGCAAGUGUGGAUGGUGAUCCAUUGGAUCACCUCUCUCAACUUGUAGCUUAGAUGCGGCAGGAGCAAAGCGAGUAUAGCCUCUAAGCUAGGUUAUGUACGGCAGCCGUAUGGCUUGCUGAGAAUUCGAAUUUACUAUUUCAGCUGACAGCUCCAUAGUUCCGGCAUUCUGCCUACACUAUUGGAGCUUAUUAUUAUUGUUGCUCUCACUUUUAUCCAAGACCUUACCGACUACCCUCAAGCCUCAUCGACGCUCUACCACAACGAAUCGACAUCGCCGCGGACCUGUCACUCUCCGAGGAACAACCAGGAGCUCCGUCACAAAAAUCAAAAAAUGACGGGUAAGAGGACAAAGGCAACGGGAGAUAACCUGGUCAACGCAGGAGCGGCCGAAGCAGCCGGCGAAGGGGGAUCGGGCCAGAUGCUGCCAGCCAACCAAAACGACAUAGAAGCCGCCAGGGAUACUUUGAGCGGGAACAUAGACCAGCCGACUCUUCACCAGCUGCUGCUGGGCGUCCUGUCAGCAGCGCAGGCCAACGCGCCAAAAGCGCCAGCCAGGGAUCCCCGGACAGCACCGCCUCGGGAUCGCUCUCCUGACGUUGUCAUCACNNNNNNNNNNNNNNNNNNNNNNNNNNNNNNNNNNNNNNNNNNNNNNNNNNUUAUUAUAAAGCGGGAGUGGGAGAUGGUCUUUACUGCAUGGUUAGUACUACCACAUAAACGUCGGCGUUGCUGCCUAUUUGAAGUCGACUUAAUGACAUUCUGGUAGCUGUUUGAAUGGCUUUCUUAAACCAGAGCGUGCCUGCCGUAAACCUAUCAAGCAAUAUUUUACAGCUAUUCUCUGCUUCCAUGAUUCUAGAAGAAAGUCAGAGACUUACCGAAGCUGUUAUGCUUACGUAAUGGUUCCACCAAAUGAUUUUUGCGUUACAUGUCCGGUGGGCCCACUCCACGCCACUCAUUGAACACGGGUCCCACCUCGCUGUCCUUCGCAGGGGCCAUACACCCCACCAAUCGACAUGGCCGGACGUCGUGUGAAUCAGCAGAGUCGUUCAUUGACGUUGGCGAAGGAGAGGUUAACAGUAUCUCUAGCCAGCACGUAGGAAAUUACUUUGGAGGGUGGCGGGAACAUGCUGAACAUGGGAACAUGCGGGAACAUGCUGAACAUGUGCUCUGGGCGGCCGCGGUCUGGCUAUGAAAUGUGAGACUGCCGUUGGGAGGGUGUUGGGCUGCUGUUACUUGGUCGUUGAUCGUUGGCCGUUGUAAUAUUCGGCAUGUUUUCAUGGCUUCCAUCUCAAUCAAUUCCCGCAGCGUACGCUGCUCUGCUGCCUUGUGACUGGCAGGCAGGCGUGAUUUCCUCGCGGGAUACCAUUUUUCCUUUGCGAACAGCUAGUGCGUGCGGACUGCAUGCAAUGCUCCUGACUAUUCAAGCCCCUCCACAAAUGGAAAGACCUCGACUGAUGGGUUGUGAGCAGUCGUAACGGCUGCUCACUGACGGAAGCACGACAAAGCGCAAGGGAUUAACCGAGGCGAAUACCGAGGCGGAUAGGAAAGCGAGACAGUGUAACGGCGCAUGCUCUUUACGCUGCCUGAACAGGCACCGAAUGCGCUGACCAACGGCCACUAUUCUAAGUGCGCAGCAGCGCCGCGUCCUCUUCCUAACGCCAGUUUGUUUCCACGUGCACCACAUUACAUAAACUCCCGCCGCAUAUACGUACGUGUUCCAUCACAUCGUCAGCUCUCUCCAUCACUUUCACCCGCAGAUCGGGAUCUACUGCCGCACUCAAAUCUCUAUAUUUUAUUUGAACUUGUCCUAAGGGUAAAAGAAGACCUAGAGCCUUGGGGGAGGCCUACCUGCUCAGGGAUCACAUCUAUCCUGGAAACAAAUAAAGCUGCUAUGACUGAGAAAGGUAAUUGUAACGACAACCAACCCGGGAGCAAGCGAACCGAAAUUGCUUCAAUCCAACUCUUAAGGAAGUUUUCAUUUAACUCGGAAAUUUUCUUAGGAGCAAAGGGAGGCAAGAAAAUCCGCACACUGACGCAGUCAUCGUAACACACAUCCUCAUUAGGAGAACGUCGGGAAUCGACGGGAGAGCGAAGGACGGAAGGCGCGACGCGCAUACGGCCGAUGCCUGCCGCAAAGACAAUCAGAGCAGAGCCAGGCCGUACUAACUUCACUGGACACAAACCCUCAGCUAGUACGCUUAUACAAAAACGAUGAGGCCAGAGGGGUGCAAAGUGGUCCUAAUCCUCUAAUCCAGGGGGUGGGUACCGGUCAGCAAUCCUCUAAUCUCAACAGGGGUGGACCACUUCUAAUCCCUAAUCCAGAGUGGUGGUCUAAUCCAUAUCCUAGGGUCGGGGUUCUAAUCCUAAUCCUGUGGCCGGGUCCCAAUCCCAAUCCUGGGGGGGGUCCCAAUCCUAAUCCUGGGGCCGGACCGUAUUCCUAACUCUGAGGCUGGGGUCCCAAUCCGAAUCCUCUUGGUCGUGUCGUAAUCCUUAUCGUGGAGCUGUUAUCGUGUGACUGAUUCGGUAAAACCUUAAUUUCGGCUGGGGGGCCCAAUCCUAAUAGAAGGGUGCCGUGACACGGAAACACACAGUGCCAUACAGGCGCGAGGCGAUGGCAAUGCAAGUGCGUAAAAAACCAAUGCAAUUUUACAGCGGGUAUAUGAUCAAACGAAGUAAAACUUGAAACAUAAAAAGCAGGCUGACGAAGCUGCGCAUCCUGGCCAUUUCUGCAGUAUCGUGCCAUACGAAGAGUUUAAGCAGGGAUACUGCGUCUAAACACCUUGAUUCAAGCAUCUGCAGAUGCGACUGUGGGGCGGUCGAAGAUGAAAUGCACGUUGAGAGAGGUGAUCCAAUCCACACUUGCAGCGUUGAGAGAGGUGAUCCAAUCCACACUUGGAUCACCAUCCACACUUGCAGCGCGCCAGAGAUCUUCCAUGCCAUAAAUACCAGGGGCUUUCACAGCUAUGAAGCACAACCCAACAAGCAGGACAUGCCUCGUGAAACGAUGUCUACGUAUGAUAUUGAGCCAAAAGAUGUUAACAUGUGCGCAUAACAAUAGGCUCAUUCAAAAAAAGCCCGAAGCCCGAGAAUUAACAACAAGCAGGCAGAGCAAACACGUCCUUGGAAGGAGUAGCUGAGAGAGGUGAUCCAAUGGACCACCAUCCACAAUGGCAGCGAAGCAGAGACCUUCAAUGCCAUAAAUACCAGGGGCUUUCGCAGCUAUGAAGUACAACCCAAUAAGCAGGACAUGCCUCGUAACACGAUGUCGACCUAUGAUGUUGAGCCAGUAAUGUUAGCACGUGCGCAUAGUAGAAAAAUUAUUCAUAAAGUUUCCGACAUUUAACCUACUAAUAUUUUAUAAGGACGCAUACCACGCGACUGCCUUUGGAAGCGUCCCUCAAUGUCGUGCAGUUGGUUCCGGAGGAGGCGCGGACGCCAUCCAUACGUCUUCGUGUCUAGACCGUCCUCGUCAAUUUUUGCAGAUUGUUUUAUCGCAAUUUUACUGAUCAGCAGACGCCUGUCA
rnacentral:lncRNA from 1 species